UGCAAUGUCGUUAAACUGUGCAUGAUAUAG
rnacentral:piRNA from 1 species